GAGGGAGGAGCUAACUUCCAUCAAAAUCAACUUCUAUUGCAAAACAACUUUAAUAUCACGUGUGUUCAUGCUUUGAUAUAAAGUUGUAAAGAAAAUCUUCUAAGAUACUUCACUAAGAAAUACCUAACUAUGAAAACUUUGGGUCUCAGAAAUGGUGCAGCUGUUUAUAGGAAAGAUGCGUUCCUAUGAUAUGAACUUAAUCUGUACCCAAGAAAUAAGAAUUAUUAAAAGAGUAGUUGAAUUUUGGACGUUUAAUCUGUGGACUUAUCUACAUGGUCAUCAUUUUCUUGUUUCUUUUUCACCGGUCAUGUGCUGCGCACUAAAACAUAGUUUAGUCCCUUUUCUAUUUUUCGGAUUUAGAUUACUUUUUACUUAGCGCACAUAUAAUCUAUACAGAAGCAUGAGUUUGGUCUUUAUGGUUGCGCUAGCGGCUCUUGUCUCCAAGUAAGACAUGUGGAUGUGGUAACAAGAACAUACAAUUGUUUUUAGUAUAGACUUUUGGUAAAUAUUUGGCUUUUUGGUAAUGAGUAAAAAGCCAAAUAAAUUACCAAAAGUCAGGAGAAUUUAUUUGGCUUUUUACUCAUUACCAAAAUUCUGACAACACCAUUGGUUUUGAAGCUUAUCGGUUAAAAGCCAAAUAAAUCCUAGCUAUCUCCAUGCUUUCCCAUCCGUCGUAUCCAGCCAGCUCAAUCAGAAUACUAAACCGUAUCACAUUCUUCCUUAGUCACUCAACCAACCAUCCCCACAUGACCAAGUAGACAUGAGAGACGGCUUGGUCUCCGACUAGCCAUCCAGUACAGAUAGUGCGCCAGCCUUGCUAGCGUCCCAGAACCAGUCGCUGAUCAUAUCUUGAUCAGACAGCACACACUCGGCUCUACAGCCCCAGAUCCAAUCAGUAACAACACGCAUCCAUCCAGUACAACUCUCGGUCCAGUCAACACUCAGUCCGCAAUGAAAAGUUACCAGCCAAUCCCUCAAAACUCGGCCUACACCAUAGUCGGUACACAACGCUAAGACUCGAUCCGAGUCUUAACCCCCAGUAUCACGAUCCACACCCAUCCAGCCGAUAAUCGCCUCGCACUGAACAUAUAUAUUCCCACCUCGUCUCAUACGCCAUCAGCACAACCAACAUAACUUGACCCCGUAUGUAACCGAUCCAGACUCCACCGAACCAGACCCUCUUGGACCUGCGAUCCAUCGGACAACACCCAGACUGCCAUUCCAGUUGAUCUCAGACUCAUUCAGAACGAUUUGCGACCGCACCACCAUUGAACGUAAAUGCCGAUCUUCCAGUAUUCGAUGUGUUCCAUCAGUAUACGACUCUUGUCAGUACAUACUAAGCCGAUAACCCCUUUUAUGUGGCUUGUGCACGGUCCCAUGGACUGUAACCACCGUAUAUUGCAGUAAGCACAUCGUGAACCAUCAUGUUCGAUCACUCAGUACGCGGCUCACCUUUAAUGACUCAGACUAAGCCGCACGCACUAUCGCUCGACUCUCGGACAGUCGAAUUAUGACCCGAUCGGCCCAUCUCCGUGGACUCAGUCUCUCUCGAUCAGAUUCUCCUCUUUCUCUCACUGUUGUUCUCUCUAUUUUUUUGUCGCUGUCUUUCUGUUCCAGUAAUCGUGUCCCCCUUUCUGACCGCGGAAAUCAGAAUAAAAGGAGUUUGGGCAGUUACCCCUUGGCCUUAACCACCCCUAACCGCUUAUCAACUUCUCCCGCGCUCAGUCAAGAAUAACUGUCUGCAGCAGUUUCUUUCCCUCGGCCCAACUGCCAAGUGACAGUUUUAAGGCAAUUCUGUAACCGUCCAGGUCGGUUAAUUCAUCCAGUAACCGCUCAGGUAACCGUCCUAAUAACUGCUCCCGCCUAUUUUCUUAGGCAAUCAGUACAUGUUUAGUUCAGUCCGUUCCCGCCAGAACGUAUAUUAAUCAGUCCAUAGACCGACUAACUACUCUCGAAAGACAAGUCCAAUUACCUUGUCUGAAUCCGACCAGCUUAGUUCGACAAAGCUCAAUUGCUAUGUCCCGACCUACAGUAUUGUCUUAAUCCGACCAAUACUAUUCAGACGAUAUGUUGCACAUGCAUUGUUCGUCUGAUCAAUCCAACUAAUACUCGACCUUGGACUGAUCCAGCUUAGACUGCAGGACGGGGAUGCUACACUUAUCCUAAAGUAUUUCUCUAUGAAUAUCUUUAAAUGUGCAAGAACUGAUAGAGACAUUUCAUAAGGAUAUUCAUCUUUGAUUCAAACAACACAUGUAUUUCUUUGCGUCUGUCUAUUUCUCUGAUCACAACUUUGUCCCUGAUUUCACCAAAGAUUUGUUGUCCCCUAAUAAUUACUUGACCUAAUAUUUUUGUGAUCACGUUCUAUUAGAUCUACUAACCAACAUGGGACCCCUUAUGCUAAUAAAAAACGGUGUAAAAAAGCAUGAGUCUGGUAGUUUUUGGCUUCUCUUGUAUAUAUACAAGUUCUCAACUUCUGUUGUAAGUAUAUAUAUAUAUAUUGUAUCUUGUUAUAUAAAUACAUAGCUUUCAUUCCCGCAUGAUCAUGUCUUCUCACCAUAAGCUUUAUAGUCCACAAUUUGUUUUGCACAUACAAUUGAUUAUGCCAACUUGGGACCAUCAUAGAUCAGAUAGAGUAGAAACAUAGGCAUGUGCUGUGUCUGGUUAGGUUUCUGAGGAGCUUGUCAUAAAGCCUGUCAAAACUAAUAGUUUCUCCUCCUAUAAAAUGAAACAAGGCAAUGGUAUUUUCCAUCAUUCAUUUCUGUCAUAACUAUCAUUCACAGAAUCACAUAGAGCUCUACAUCAGAACUUACAAAUCUGUUCUCUUUCUUUCUCCUUCUUACUUUUUGGAUUAAAUAUUUUUUAGAAAAUGAUAAUGAACACAAAGAAGCUAAUCAAGAUGGUCAAGAAAUGGCAACAAAGAGCAGCCCUCCACAGGAAAAGGAUCUCAUUUCAGAGGUCGAGUUCUGGUGGUAGCAGCUCAACGUCAUUAGAUAAGGGUUGCUUUGUGGUUUAUACGGCGGACAAAGCCCGCUUUACUUUUCCAAUAAGUUACCUGAGCAACUCUGUUUUCCAAGUACUCUUGAAAAUCUCUGAAGAAGAGUUCGGCCUCCCCACCGAAGGACCAAUUACAUUGCCAUUCGAUUCUGUUUUCUUGGAGUAUCUUAUCAAAUUGGUCCAGCGACGAAUGGAUGAAGAUACAGAAAAGGCUUUGUUAAUGUCAAUCUCUAGUGCUAGAUGUUCUUGGCAAUGCUCUUUGCAACUACAAGAUCAAAGUAGUUGUCAACAUUUGCUUGUAUUUUAGAGUGUAGCAGUUUCUGUAUUAUAUAGGCACAGAAAUAAACAUUAUUAUCUUCAUCUCUUCUCAUCAAAAUCAACUUUUUUUUUUUUUUUGGUUGAAAGUUACUUCUUUUUUUUUUACAUAAUUAUAUAUAUAAAAUCGACCUGAAUAAUCAGAAAUUCAGAUCCGGUUACAAACCCGCUUUGAACAAAACACCAAAGUCAAAAUAUUACAACCUAGUUUGGUCCGCCAAUUAAACCCGGCACAUUCCGCUAAACCAUUUUUCAAAAUUCUUUGGAAUCGGUUUCUGUUCUCAACCAUUGACGAUGAUCGCGGGACGGUGAGGUUCUCCUCGUUGCCUCGGAUACCGGGACUCCCCAUGUCGCCUUCGGAGUAGCUGGAUUCCGAUGAACUCCACGAAGCUUAUAACCGUCACUGUCUUUGAAGCACAAGAGGAGCAAUAAGGGAUUGUUCCAAAUACUUACCACGAUGCCUUGCAAAUGCCACCAAAGCCGGGAAUGUAUGAAACGCCACACAGCGCCUGAAACGCAGCCCUAAGAAGCAAGCACUCGCUACUGCCGCCAUCGAACCAACUACCUAAAAAAACGGGCUGAGAAGGAAACAACAUCAAACUGCAAUCUUCAGAACCUGCAAAGAAGAAAAGAACCGCCUGCGAGGUAGACGACACGAUCGCGUCCUUCCUCACACUGGGAUGACGGAAUCUGAAGCAAGGUCUCCACAUCACCAGCCAGACCCAAACUGACCCAGCCUGGAUUAACCGGCGAAUCCUAACUCCCGUACAGAGAACCCGUACGGGUCUUCCAUGCGCUUCUGGUGAAUACCUCGAUGGAGGAGAAACGAGGAUAAACCAAAAACAGGACCUGAACAAAUCCGACCAUAGAAGGUCAAGACAAAUCACAAAUUGAUGAAAUGGAGACAUAGGUGCAAAGGAAGAGCAGCUUCAAAGUGAGCGGAGCACAGCCAUAGACGACAGGACACCGGAAAUCACCCUCAGCUACGCACGAUAACCCCAUAGAAGUGUAGUCACCACACGGCCAUGGUCGCGCCGGCGACGAACAACAACCGCCUCCCCUGAGCGAGAGAAAAAACCCUUAACCGUUCGACAAGACCACAAGCCGACAGUGAAAGGUGACCUCCUCCCUCCUCUCCACAACGAAGAGCACUGUUCGAAUCAACUGGGGGAGAGAGACCUCUGAACUUCCAUACGCCUCCAGCUCGAGAACGCCGACGGGACCUACAAGUUAAAAUCAAGAUCCGCCUGAGCCAAGCCCUAAACGCCGACUUCGCCUUACCACAAACCCUCACCACCUCACAGGAACUCCAGAUCGAAGUCAACCAACCACGGAUCCAACCCCUCCGGAGAAGAUUAGAGACCCCGCGGCAGAGCUCCUUCCAGAGCGCCUAGUAUAUCGACGGCUUGGAGAGAGAGGUGAAAACGGAGCAAAGCACAAAGAAGAUGGUGAGAGAAGAGAGCCUCCGGCAGCCACGCGCCCGGCUGACAGCCGCCGGAGCAGAUCGGAGAAGAUGAAGAUGGAGUCUUGCUGGAGUUAGAGAGAGGGAGGAGCUAACUUCCAUCAAAAUCAACUUCUAUUGCAAAACAACUUUAAUAUCACGUGUGUUCAUGCUUUGAUAUAAAGUUGUAAAGAAAAUCUUCUAAGAUACUUCACUAAGAAAUACCUAACUAUGAAAACUUUGGGUCUCAGAAAUGGUGCAGCUGUUUAUAGGAAAGAUGCGUUCCUAUGAUAUGAACUUAAUCUGUACCCAAGAAAUAAGAAUUAUUAAAAGAGUAGUUGAAUUUUGGACGUUUAAUCUGUGGACUUAUCUACAUGGUCAUCAUUUUCUUGUUUCUUUUUCACCGGUCAUGUGCUGCGCACUAAAACAUAGUUUAGUCCCUUUU
rnacentral:lncRNA from 1 species